AUAAAUAACAAAGUAGUAACCAAGGGAUUUAUUCUCAUUAGAUAGCCAUGAAUAAAUAAUAUCAAGAAUAUAAUCAUCUAAGCAUCUUACAGAUCAUUCGAAAUUUCGUUUGUUUGACAGCUCUUUUAAAACACACUGAAUAGAUAGCAUUUUCAAAAACGCGAGCAACCAACAGAACAGAUAAAAAUUUUCCAUUUGUAUAAAAAUAGUAAAGUGAUAUUUAUACAAAGGCAAUAGAAGAAAUAGCCCGUGCCAUUCAAAUCAAUCGAGAUUGUUAAGCCAACUAACAGUUGCAAUUUUAAACCAGUUGGGUUAAUAAAAGAUUAAAAUUAGGUUUUUAGCCAAACGAAAUUUUAUAAAACACUCGGCUGUCCGAAAAGUUGUUGGAUUGCGAUUAAUUUUUCCGGUAAGUUUAAGCUGUGUUCUAAUUUAUCUGUUUAACCUGAAGUCAAGAAAUUUUGUAGUGGAAUAAUUCUUUUCCUUUUACAUAAACGAAGUACCUCAUCGUGCGAACCGUAGAAUGGUUUAAUGAUAGCAUUCAGUUGACUGCCCCAACGAAGUGAAUCUAAGUAAGCCUUUUGAGCUUCCUGCGGCGAAGAAAAUGUCAGGUAAGCUCUCAUACUAUCCUUCCAAGUAAUAAUUAGAUCAGGUUGUUUAAAAUAACUUCUUAAAACGCGUUCUGUAAGAUAAAGUCCUUGUGCACUUAAAAUGUACGUAGAAUGACUUUCAACAACUUCUACUGGACGUUCAAUAUGCUUAGAUAAAGAAACAGUAUUUUUCUCUUCCAUUCUUCAAAACUUUUGGUACCAAAUAAGCUAAAACUACAACUUCAAUGAAUAUUGAAGGUAUCCAUGCUAAGAGUAUAGGGUAAAUACUAAGUAGCCGUUUUUUUAUUGUUGAUCAGCGUGAACAAGAUUGCCAAUUUUCAAUCAUUUAUAGCCCAAAUAUCUUAAGACCACUAGAAUUAGGCUCCGAUACAGCAUAUGCUAAAAUAUGUUUUGUUGGAUGCCAAGCUACCUUGUUCAGAGGUCCAUUAGUUGGAAUUUUCCAAAUUUGAUCACCAGUUUUCGUAUCAGCCUUCCAAGUUAGUUUAUUAAAAAGAAUAAAAAUAAGAAACGGUUUCAAACAUCCUGAAAUACUUACGAUAUCCACAUAGCGGUCCUCUGAUCCACUAGCUAAAUAGCGACUGUCAUAACUAAAGCUUAAUGUACGGAUGGGAUAACUUUUUAGAAGUUAGCGACCAAAAAAUUUAAAAGAAACUACAUACUCCAUUCUAGUAAUCGACCGUUCACAAAUCAGUUCUUGUGGAUCCCAUAAACUAGUAAUUGCAUCUGCACCACCAAUGGCAAGGUGCCUGUUAUCCGGACUGAAUUCAAUACAGAAACAAUUUGAGUUAUGCGCCUUUAUAUCGUAAACUCUUUUUAGAGAAGGCCAUUCCAUAAUUUGCACCGUGCCAAGUCCUGUAGUCAUGAAAAACAAAUCUUCACUGAAUGACCAACA